rnacentral:tRNA from 1 species
AUUCAAAUAGCUUAUAUUAGAGUAUAACACUGAAGAUGUUAGGGUGAUUAGUUUAAUCUUUGAAUA